ensembl:lncRNA
GAAAGAAAGACUAAAGCAUAAGGGAAGGAAGUGUGUGCAGGCCUCCAGUGAUAGUGACGAAGCUCCUCUGUCUGUCGCCCUCAGUCUUUCCAUACCCUUUAUCUCCACCUGAUAGUGCCGUGCCAAACGACCGGGCUUUCUCAGGACCCACACCACAGAGCCGAGCUUUCAGGUGCCGUCACACAGAGCCAAAGCCAACCCACUCCCAGCCCAGUGCUUGGCUCGCCCACAGCUGGGCCACACAUUGCCUCUCUGUGUUCUGGUCUGGUCUGGUCUGGUCUGGUCUGGUCUGGUCUGGGCGGCUCUGCUCUCCGCUGCUGUACUCGUGUUCUGCUCUGGUGCUUCUCCUGGUUGGGCUUCUGGCGGGAUGUAGCUUUGCUGUAGUUGUCGCCUGUUGUGGUGCUUUUUUUUUUUUUUUCAUCUCAUGAACAUGUUUCCCUCUUCCAGUCAAACCAUGUUUUCCAAUGGCAACUGUGUCAUUAUGGUCAUUUUGUUAAUUGGUAUUUUUCUCAGUUUGAAGCGGGAUCAGUAGUAACCGUAAAAAAAAAAACAUUUUGCUCACUUACCUCCAUGUCUGUUCUUGGUCAUCGGGUGGUGUAAUGGCAACGCCGCUUCUUUUCCACUUCUUUCUGUUCCCCCGUUUGCAUUCCCUCUCCCAGGCAUCAUGGGAGGUGCCCCCUAGACAGAAAGCCAAUAAAGUUUAUUAAACACUCAGAGCUUGUUCUCAGCACACGAGCCCCUGCAUUGGUGCUUUUCAACAGCUAGAGAUCAACAAAGUGGGCUUGAGGGAGGAUAAACAACAAGCAAGAGGGAGUGUUUUUGGUCUUUUAAAAACAAGAAGCGCAUUACGCAAAACUGUCGAGGAGGAAUUUAUUAAAUCUGUUGUGACAACCCAGAAGGCUUCUAUAUUUAACUUUGUAAGCGCUUCCCGGACCCGCGUGGAUGACUGUGGCCGUGUGGAUUGGCUCGCAGUUCCGUCUGGUGGCCGCCACCAACCGCUGGGGCCUUGUUCUUAAAACAAACCAGCUGCGCAGAAUGACAGAGCCAUGGGAGGACCGGGGAAGGAGAAGGAGGAGGGGGGUUUUCAUGAAUGAAAAUCUAAGAGGGAGGGGGAUGAAAAAAAAAAAAAAAAAAAAGACGGCUCAUGGAGUCAUGUAUUAGGUAUUUUGCAAAAGCCAAGAUCGACUUUGAGGGCUCCGAACGUGUCGGUGGGUGUGCACCUUGGUUUUGGGGCCAAGUUGGAAGUUGUUUUUUGUAUGAUUUGGGAAUGAAAGGAGACAUGCUUGUUGUUUUGGCUGGUUUGCUUUGCACCAGCCUGCUGUGUAAUUUGCAGUUUGCUGUGCGCUGCACGGCCUUCUGGGAACUGCCCGAGGCCAUCACUCCAUGGCUGCUACUGGUAUGCACAGAAGAAAUCUCAAAGCAAUGGAAAACAGUGACUAAACGAUUGGAUUUUGCGCAUUUGGGCCAGUUAGACUUCAAGCUAUUUGGAUGGUUAGAC